ACCCUUGUGGAGGAGGACGCCGAAGGUGGGGCUAAUGACUGGGGUGAAGUCGUAACAAGGUAGCCGUACCGGAAGGUGCGGCUGGAUCACCUCCUAACAGGGAGACAACAAAAUGUUUAAUAUUAUUAUUUUGUCACCUUAGGUCGAUCGGUAUCUCACGUUCUUAAUUUUUAAGAAUUUCAUUUCCUAAGUUUUUCUAGGUCACACCCAUUAUUUUUCCUGGGCCAUUAGCUCAGGUGGUUAGAGCGCACCCCUGAUAAGGGUGAGGUCCCUGGUUCAAGUCCAGGAUGGCCCAUAUCUCUAUGUUGGGGGUAUAGCUCAGUUGGUAGAGCGCCUGCUUUGCAAGCAGGAUGUCAGCGGUUCGAGUCCGCUUACCUCCACUGAUUACCACCUCUUCCAUAAUCUGUAGAAAGGAAAUGUUUUGAGUUGUGAUCUAAUUCUGAACGAAUCUAGCUUCCUAAUGAAAUCAUUAAGAUGCUGGACUCAUUGAAUUAAUUUCAUUGUUUUCAGAGAACCUUGACAACUGCAUAGAUUUUUUUUUAAAGACAAUAAGCAUCUUUAAUGAUGCAGAUUUAUUAUUUGUGCGAAUGCAUUAAUAACAAUUCUAUUAAGCUGAUGCUUCAAUUAUGAAGUUAUUGGUCAAGCUACAAAGGGCUCACGGAGGAUACCUAGGCACACAGA
rnacentral:misc_RNA from 1 species